CUUUUAAACCCCUUGCAACCUCGAACGGAAUCUUAGGAUUUAGUGGCGGACGGGUGAGUAACGCGUGAGAAUCUAGCUCUAGGUCGGGGACAACCACUGGAAACGGUGGCUAAUACCGGAUGAGCCGAAAGGUAAAAGAUUAAUUGCCUAGAGAUGAGCUCGCGUCUGAUUAGCUAGUUGGUGUGGUAAGAGCGCACCAAGGCGACGAUCAGUAGCUGGUCUGAGAGGAUGAUCAGCCACACUGGGACUGAGACACGGCCCAGACUCCUACGGGAGGCAGCAGUGGGGAAUUUUCCGCAAUGGGCGAAAGCCUGACGGAGCAAUACCGCGUGAGGGAGGAAGGCUCUUGGGUUGUAAACCUCUUUUCUCAAGGAAUAAGAAAGUGAAGGUACUUGAGGAAUAAGCAUCGGCUAACUCCGUGCCAGCAGCCGCGGUAAUACGGAGGAUGCAAGCGUUAUCCGGAAUGAUUGGGCGUAAAGGGUCCGCAGGUGGCCCUGUAAGUCUGCUGUUAAAGAGUGAGGCUCAACCUCAUAAAAGCAGUGGAAACUACAGAGCUAGAGUGCGUUCGGGGUAGCAGGAAUUCCUGGUGUAGCGGUGAAAUGCGGUAGA
rnacentral:rRNA from 1 species